rnacentral:sRNA from 1 species
CCGCCCAGCGCGCCACCAAUACCGGCAUCGGUAUUGCCGCCGGCAAAGGCGCUGCCACUGGCGAGGCCAAGAGACAGGAGAAGGAUCGAGGUGUACUUCAUGGUGAGGAUCGCCUCAGUGGUUUUGGUGAGGCGAUAUUUACUGUGGGAUUUGUCUUACGCAAGUGUCUGACGACGAAAAACACGAACUUUUAUUAUUUUUUUUAUUGGGCGAUUCGACAGAAGAACUUUUUCCCUUCAGGGGAGUCAGAGGCUGGUUGAAACCCCCGCUCCAUGCGCGUCUUGCGCUUUCUGGUACUGGCACUUCGCCUAAUAAGUUCCCUUUGAAGUUGGAACUUU